rnacentral:rRNA from 1 species
UACGGAGGAUGCGAGCGUUAUCCGGAUUUAUUGGGUUUAAAGGGUGCGUAGGCGGAUCGUUAAGUAAGUGGUCAAAUUGAGGGGCUCAACCCCUUCCCGCCAUUGAAACUGGCGAUCUUGAGUGGAAGAGAAGUAUGCGGAAUGCGUGGUGUAGCGGUGAAAUGCAUAGAUAUCACGCAGAACCCCGAUUGCGAAGGCAGCAUGCCGGCUUCCUACUGACGCUGAAGCACGAAAGCGUGGGGAUCGAACAGG